rnacentral:misc_RNA from 1 species
UUAAUUUAAUAAUAUUAAAAUUAUUUUAAAAAAUAAGAAAUUUUGAGCUUCACUUUUAAUCAAAAUUAAAUUAAUUAAAAAUAAUAUUAAUUAUACCUUCAAUUUAUUUUUUCAAGAAAAAAAAUUACGUAUCAAAUUUAUAUGUUAUUCAAAAUGAAAAUUGUCGGCAACCAGUAGAGAUAGUUCAUUGGGUCAGUGUGUUGUUGUCCUGUUCUUUUAGCUCAUGACGUUUAGACUCCUACAUUAUAAGGAAUUAAAAUUAUAUUUUUGUUAAUAGUUUAAACUUUUAGUACAGUGAUAAGUAUUUCAUCCUAAAAAAAUAAUAUCAAUAAUUAAAUAAUAUAAUUAAGCACAUUAUUAAGAAUUUAUAUCUCUACUAUAUUUAAGAAAAAAAUUGCAUUUGUUGUUCAUUAGUGGGCAAGAAAGCCUCUACAACAACAGCUGCUAUUAUAAUUUUUUUGGGGUCCCUUGAGGUUAGGCUGUUCAUGUAUCCCCACUAAAAAAAGUCAAUAAUUUGUGGCGUGAAAAAAAAAAAAAAAAAAAAA